rnacentral:rRNA from 1 species
UGCCAGCCGCCGCGGUAAUACGGAGGGUGCGAGCGUUAAUCGGAAUUACUGGGCGUAAAGCGCACGCAGGCGGUUUGUUAAGCUAGAUGUGAAAGCCCCGGGCUCAACCUGGGAUGGUCAUUUAGAACUGGCAGACUAGAGUCUUGGAGAGGGGAGUGGAAUUCCAGGUGUAGCGGUGAAAUGCGUAGAUAUCUGGAGGAACAUCAGUGGCGAAGGCGGCUCCCUGGCCAAAGACUGACGCUCAUGUGCGAAAGUGUGGGUAGCGAACAGGAUUAGAUA